rnacentral:snRNA from 13 species
AUGAUUCCGUCCGGUGCCGGGACCAGGGUGAUCACGGACCCCAUGGCUCCAGGUUGAGGCUCGCCUUUCCACUCUGGCGGGUUGUAGCCUGCGACGAUACCUGAUCGGGCUCUCUCGGGCGCGUAGCUUUUGCCAAAGAGGAGGUCUUCAGAUCAUCCAUU